CGACAUAAUUGGUACCUAAUAAGAGUUGGAAGGAAGUGCUUGAUCAUAACUUCAGUUUCAAAAGGUGCUCGAUUACUUCGGAUUGACCGAAGCUAGAUGGACAAUAAUAAAUUAAACCAG